GAGAGGGGGUUGUUCAAAGAGGGCUCUUUGCCCGUAUCGCGAUGGGACAAUGAAUCUCAGAAUUUGAGAUGGAAUUCCACAGCAGAUCCACCCGAUACCCCAAUGAUCACCCACGUGGUUAACGUCUGACACAGAGAUUGCAGCGUUUUCCCCCUCCCCUUGUUCAAGCAGAUAAUUCCACCCGUGACCUCUUUGCUACCCGGCUCUAGGGCUGAGAUUGUGAAAGCUCAUCAAGCAUACCUCCAGCCUGGACGGGCUAUUUGUAAAAGCUACCAUGGAGCAUGUGCAACUCGGUCAGUUCGGACACGCAAGAAGGAAAGCCCUUCAACGCUGCCAAAAGGAGUAUUUGAAAAAAAAAAAAGUCUCCUUUGCAG